AACGUGUCUUUUCCCGUCUGGCAACCGUGAGCAGAUACUUCCGGGUGUUUUUGUUUUUGAUUGGCCAGUUGAUGACUGCUUGGCGUCCCAAAAAAACGUCCACGGGACAACUUUGACGUCUUCUGACAAGGUUGGACGUGAUUGUUAUUUCAUAUCAAAUAAGAUGGCCGACCGCCGUGACGGCGACGCCAAGGGCGCGUUCGGCGGACACGCCUUUCAUUUCGCCGAAACCAACGGCGACAGAAUAUACAUGGACUACAACGCCACCACGCCGCUGGAACCACAAGUCAUGCAGGCUGUUUGCGAGGCCCUGCAGGACGCCUGGGGCAACCCCAGCAGCAGCUACGCAGCAGGUGUGAAAGCCAAGGCCAUCAUCAAGCAGGCCAGAGAGAACGUGGCGAGGAUGGUCGGCGGAAAAGCAGAGGACAUCAUCUUCACGUCGGGAGGAACCGAGGCCAACAACAUGGUGCUGCACACCGCCGUGGAACAUUUCACUCGCCACCAGGACGGGAACCUUCCACACGUCAUCACCUCCAACGUGGAGCACGACUCGGUCAAACUGGCGGCCGAGCGCCUGCAGAGGGACGGCAAGGCGGAUGUGACCUUUGUGCCCGUUUCCACGGCGACGGGCCGCGUGGAGGUGGACGAUGUCCUGGCGGCCGUGCGCCCCAACACUUGCCUGGUGUCCAUCAUGCUGGCCAACAACGAGACGGGCGUCAUUAUGCCUGUGCGUGAAGUGUGCCAGAGAGUCCAGGUUCUGAACCAGCGCAGGCAUGUGAGAAUCCUGCGUCACACUGACGCCGCUCAGGCUGUGGGCAAGAUCCCCGUGGACGUGUGUGACCUGGGCGUGGACUACCUCACCAUCGUGGGUCACAAGUUUUACGCGCCCAGGAUCGCUGCCUUGUUCGUCAGGGGCCCCGGGGCCACCACGCCACUAUACCCCGUGCUCGUUGGCGGGGGACAGGAGAGGAACUUCAGACCGGGGACUGAAAACACACCAAUGAUCGCUGGACUGGGGAAGGCUGCAGAGCUGGUGACCAAUCACGGCGCAGCUUAUGAGCGUCACAUGCUGGAUACAAGAGUGCACCUGGAGGAGCGGCUGAAGGCCACCUUUAAAGACAAGCUGCACUUCAACAGCCAUUUUGCGGGCUCUGACUGCCUUCCCAACACGUGCAACGUCUCCCUGCUGGGCGCCCGCUUGCAGGGCUGGCGGGUGUUGUCGCACUGCCGCAAGCUGCUGGCCAGCGUGGGCGCCGCCUGCCACUCGGACCGCGGCGACAGGCCGUCCCACAUCCUGCUGAGCUGCGGCGUGCGGGAGGAAGUGGCCGCCAACGCCUUGAGGCUGAGCGUGGGCAGGAGGACCUCCAGGGAAGACGUGGAGCAGGUGGUGCAGGACCUGGAGAAGGCGGUGAAGCACUUGGAGCAGGCGGAGUAGAACUGGCUGCAGCAACCUUUCUGUACCUCAGUCAAAGAAGGCAGGAGAACUCUUCUGGUCUGGACUCUUCCUCCUCCAGAGAGAACUUCGCUUUGGAGUCCAGAUGUCAACCAGUUUUGAGGUCCUACAUCUCCAGGAGCUCGGCUAAUAUCCAUCCAUCCAUCCAUUUCCUACCGCUUAUUCCCUUUUUGGGGUCGCGGGGGGCACUGGCGCCUAUCUCAGCUACAAUCGGGCGGAAAGCGGGGUACACCCUGGACAAGUCGCUACCUCAUCGCAGGGCCAACACAGGCUAAUAAUACAUUUGAAAAUAAAAUAACAAUAAUGAAUGAACAAAACAUUCAAGCCUUGAAGUAGCAAGAGAAAAUGCGUGAAUAAAACGUUAAUUAUUGGUCAGUUUGCUGGAUGUUUCCCGGAAGAGUUAGUGCUGCAAGGGGUUCUGGGUAUUGUGGGGCGGUAUAGCUCGGUUGGUAGAGCGGCCGUGCCAGCAACUUGAGGGUUGCGGGUUCGAUCGCCGCUUCCACCAUCCUAGUCACUGCUGUUGUGUCCUUGGGCAAGGCACUUUGAGUCACUAGAGAAAAAGCGCUAUAUAAAUAUAAUUCACUUCACAUUUUUGUCAAUAAAAAUAAAAACCUUUUUUUUUUACAAUAAAGCAAAAUGCAACAAAACACAGAGGAACAUGACGGCAAAGGACCAAAACACCCACAGGUCAUAUGAUAAUCAGAAUCUAUAUCAUAAUGAUCCACAUCAUAAUAAUCUAUAUCAGGGGCGUCAAAGUCAAAAAGAGAGUGGGCCAAAAUUUUAAACUGAACAAAGCCGGGGGCCAAGGUUGAACGAAUUAACCUUUUAAUAGGGACCCAAACAAAUUUUGCAUGAAAUAUUGAACAAGAAAGGCUUAUAUAACUUUAGUGACAUGCAAAAUCCAGUUUCAAAUAAUAAUGAUUAAAAAAAUAUCAAUGACUAAUCAAAUAAAAUUUAAAUAAACAUUUUAUGCCUUUUUUUCUAUUUGCAAUCUUCUGAGGUAAAUAUCAAUUUUUUUCCACAGGCUAAUAUCCAUCCAUCCAUCCAUUUCCUACCGCUUAUUCCCUUUUUGGGGUCGCGGGGGGCACUGGCGCCUAUCUCAGCUACAAUCGGGCGGAAAGCGGGGUACACCCUGGACAAGUCGCCACCUCAUCGCAGGGCCAACACAGGCUAAUAAUACAUUUGAAAAUAAAAUAACAAUAAUUAAUGAACCAAACAUUCAAGCCUUGAAGUAGCAAGAGAAAAUGCGUGAAUAAAACGUUAAUUAUUGGUCAGUUUGCUGGAUGUUUCCCGGAAGAGUUAGUGCUGCAAGGGGUUCUGGGUAUUGUGGGGCGGUAUAGCUCGGUUGGUAGAGCGGCCGUGCUAGCAACUUGAGGGUUGCAGGUUCGAUCCCCGCUUCCACCAUCCUAGUCACUGCCGUUGUGUCCUUGGGCAAGACACUUUACCCACCUGCUCCCAGUGCCACCCACACUGGUUUAAAUGUAACUUAGAUGUUGGGUUUCACUAUGUCAUCAUAUGAUCAUCAUGUGAUUAUCGUGUCAUGUGGUCAUCAUGUCAUGUCAUGUCUUAAUCAUGUGAUCAUCAUGUGGUCAUGUCAUCAUCUGAUCAUAUAAUGUGAUCAUCAUGUGACCACAUCAUUGUGUCAUGAUAAGGUCAUCAUGUCAUGUCAUCAUCAUAUGAUCAUCAUGUGACUAUAAUGCCAUGUGGUCAUCAUGUCAUGUCAUGUCUUAAUCAUGUGAUCAUCAUGUGGUCAUGUCAUCACCUGGUCAUCAUGUAAUCAUGUGAUCAUCAUGUGAUUAUCAUGUCUUCAUGUGGUCGUCAUGUCAUCAUGUAAUCAUGUGAUCAUCAUGUGGUCAUGUCAUCAUCUGGUCAUCAUGUAAUCAUGUGAUCAUCAUGUGAUUAUCAUGUCUUCAUGUGGUCAUCAUGUCAUCAUGUAAUCAUGUGAUCCUGUCAUGUGAUUAUCAUGUCUUCAUGUCAUCAUCUGGUCAUCAUGUAAUCAUGUGAUCAUCACAUGUGAUCAUCAUGUGAUUAUCAUGUCAUCAUGUCAUGUCAUGUCUUAAUCAUGUGAUCAUCAUGUGGUCAUGUCAUCAUCUGAUCAUAUAAUGUGAUCAUCAUGUGACCACAUCAUUGUGUCAUGAUAAGGUCAUCAUGUCAUGUCAUCAUCAUAUGAUCAUCAUGUGACUAUAAUGCCAUGUGGUCAUCAUGUCAUGUCAUGUCUUAAUCAUGUGAUCAUCAUGUGGUCAUGUCAUCAUCUGGUCAUCAUGUGAUCAUCAUGUGGUUAUCAUGUCUUCAUGUGGUCAUCAUGUCAUCAUGUAAUCAUGUGAUCCUGUCAUGUGAUUAUCAUGUCUUCAUGUCAUCAUCUGGUCAUCAUGUAAUCAUGUGAUCAUCUCAUGUGAUCAUCAUGUGAUUAUCAUGUCAUCAUGUCAUCAUCAUGUGGUCAUGUCAUCAUCUGAUCAUAUAAUGUGAUCAUCAUGUGACCACAUCAUUGUGUCAUGAUGUGGUCAUCAUGUCAUGUCAUCAUCAUAUGAUCAUCAUGUGAUUAUUUCAUGUGGUCAUCAUGUCAUGUCAACAUCUUGUGAUCAUCAUGUCAUCAUGUGAUCAUCACUCCCACUACCGCACCUUUAGUUGGAGUCCUAAAUCUCGUUAUAUGCAAAUAUAAUGACAAUAAAGUCUAUUUUUUUCAUUCUAUUCUAUGUCAUCAUGUGUUCAUCACGUGAUCAUCAUGUGAUCAUCAUGUUUCGUUUUGAUAGUGUGAUAACUAUAAUAAUAUUUAAAAAAAUCAGUCUAUAAAAAUUCAGUUUCUAAGAAUUCAGGUACAACAAUUUAAUGUUGUUUUU